rnacentral:rRNA from 1 species
AACGAACGCUGGCGGCAUGCCUAACACAUGCAAGUCGAGCGAGACCUUCGGGUCUAGUGGCGCACGGGUGCGUAACGCGUGGGAAUCUGCCCUUAGGUUCGGAAUAACUUCGGGAAACUGAAGCUAAUACCGGAUGAUGACGUAAGUCCAAAGAUUUAUCGCCUAAGGAUGAGCCCGCGUUGGAUUAGCUAGUUGGUGAGGUAAAGGCUCACCAAGGCGACGAUCCAUAGCUGGUCUGAGAGGAUGAUCAGCCACACUGGGACUGAGACACGGCCCAGACUCCUACGGGAGGCAGCAGUGGGGAAUAUUGGACAAUGGGCGAAAGCCUGAUCCAGCAAUGCCGCGUGAGUGAUGAAGGCCUUAGGGUUGUAAAGCUCUUUUACCCGUAGAUGAUAAUGACAGUAUCGGGAGAAUAAGACUCCGGCUAACUCCGUGCCAGCAGCCGCGGUAAAGUGACUACUG